AUACGGAGGCGGCGAGCGUUAAUCGGAAUUACUGGGCGUAAAGCGCGCGUAGGCGGCUUUGUAAGUCGGAUGUGAAAGCCCUGGGCUCAACCUGGGAAUGGCAUUCGAUACUGCAGAGCUAGAGUAUGGUAGAGGGAAGUGGAAUUUCCGGUGUAGCGGUGAAAUGCGUAGAUAUCGGAAGGAACACCAGUGGCGAAGGCGACUUCCUGGGCCAAUACUGACGCUGAGGUGCGAAAGCGUGGGGAGCAAACAGGAUUAGAAACCCCAGUAGUCC
rnacentral:rRNA from 1 species